rnacentral:rRNA from 1 species
GUAGUCCACAUAUCAGAUAUUAAACUGAUAAGAACAGAUACUACACUUGAUCUUAGCCAAAAGGCCGAGAAAGGUAUGAGUUGCAAGGGAACCUUGCACCUCCUCUUAUACACGUCUGACCAGUUCCUCUAA